AGUGUGUUGGUGAUAGCGUGCUGACGUGUGUAAGCCAACCCUCAGUUAGUCGAGCCAUCCGAAAUGUCACAAGGGCAAUCAAUACUGCCAUGUUGAACAACUGGGUUUACUUCCCAGAAAAUGAAAACGAGUUGCAACUGAACAAACAAAGGUUCAUGGAAACAACAGGCUUUCCAGGUGUAAUGGGAGCAGUGGACUGCACACAUGUUCUCAUUAUUUCUCCAACUGGCGAUGAGGAAGCAGUAUACGUGGACAGGAAACACAACCACUCCCUUAAUGUUCAGCUUAUCUGCAAUUACGACAUGCUUGUCAUGGAUGUCAACGCCAGAUAUCCUGGCAGUACACACGAUGCAGCUAUCUGGAGGCUGUGCAAUGUGAAGAGGACUUUGAUGAGGCGCUACAGAAAUGGAGACACCAAUUCAUGGAUACUGGGUAUGCCAACUUGAGGUGCAAAUACGG